rnacentral:rRNA from 1 species
GCUGAAUUAAGCAUAUUAGUAAGCGGAGGAAAAGAAACUAACCAGGAUUCUCCUAGUAACGGCGAGUGAACGGAGAUUAGCCCAUCACCGAAGUCCGGUGCUAUUGCAUACAGGACAAUGUGGUGUUAAGGCAUGUACCUGGGACUGCGAAUCUACCCGAAGUCCAACUCCGAUUGUGGCUUUGGAUAUUGCCCAAAGCGGGUGAGAGGCCCGUACGGGUAGAUUCUUGUUGUUAUGCAGUCCUCAGAUGUGCGUGCUUUCGAGUCGGAUUGCUUGAGAAUGCAGUCCAAAGUGGGUGGUAAACUCCAUCCAAGGCUAAAUACUGGCACGAGUCCGAUAGUAGACAAGUACCGUGAGGGAAAGUUGAAAAGUACUCUGAAGAGAGAGUAAAUAGCACGUGAAGCCGGUUGCAGGGAAGCUGGUGGAGUCAAGCUUCAUGCUUGAGAAAUUUGUGCAAGUAGUAUUUUGUUGAUUGUAUUCAUGGCCGAUCAACUUGGAAUAAGUUGGGCGCAUUCGUGUGCUUCAAGUCAUUCUGGGUAGUGUGUUUGUGCUGGUCAUGAUAAACUGCUGCUUGUACUCUAUUUCUUGUUGCAUAAAUCACGGUCUAUAGCCUUGUGUUGACGUGCUGUAUGAUUGUCUAACUGUGCUACGGCAAGCUUUCAGUUUGUCGGGUACAGGAUGGCAGGUUGAGGCUUCAGGCCUUGUGUCUGUUAGUCUCUUAUAGUGGUUUUGACCAGCUGAUAAUCAUGCAGUAUCGUGGCUAUAGUUGUUCUGUUGAUACACAGUUUAUGAGCUGCGUACC